rnacentral:rRNA from 1 species
AGUGAGCGCUGGCGGUAGGCCUAACACGUGCAAGUCGAACGGCAGCACAGAGGAGCUUGCUCCUUGGGUGGCGAGUGGCGGACGGGUGAGGAAUACAUCGGAAUCUACUCUGCCGUGGGGGAUAACGUAGGGAAACUUACGCUAAUACCGCAUACGACCUACGGGUGAAAGCAGGGGAUCUUCGGACCUUGCGCGAUUGAAUGAGCCGAUGUCGGAUGAGCGAGUGGGCGGGGUACAGGCCCACCAAGGCGACGAUCCGUAGCUGGUCUGAGAGGAGGAUCAUACAUACUGGAACUGAGAGACGGUCCAGAAUCCUACGGGAGGCAGCAGUGGGGAAUAUUGGACAAUGGGCGCAAGCCUGAUCCAGCCAUACCGCGUGGGUGAAGAAGGCCUUCGGGUUGUAAAGCCCUUUUGUUGGGAAAGAAAUCCAUCUGGUUAAUACCCGGGUGGGAUGACGGUACCCAAAGAAUAAGCACCGGCUAACUUCGUGCCAGCCGCCGCAGUAA